CUACCACCUUUCUUUUUUCCACUAGAAUCAUUAUUGUUAUUCCCUUCAGAACCAACUUCAUCACCAAUAUAAUAAACCACCAUAAUCAACAACCUCACCAUGUUAUCAGUCCACUUCAUUCUUUGCCAAGGACAAGUUUUAUUACCAUUCCUUUUUCCAUCAUCAGUACUAUUGUUGUCAGCACUAACACCAGGAACAGGUUCAUCAUCAUCACUAAAAUUCAAGCUUUGAUUUUUAGCCUUGUUAUUACCAAAUGGAAACACUUGCCUCAAUGUUUGUUGUUGGUUAUCAGCAUUUUCUUGAUGUGCAAAUGAAACCAUGGGGUGGUGGGGUGGGGGCUGGGGGUGAGGUAGAGGUUGUUGAUGCAAGUGAUGGUGAGUGUUCUGUUGAGGGAUUUGAUGAUGCAAUGACAUUUCUAAUCCUAACAUACCAGGACCCCUAUUUGAAUAUAAACUACCAGAAUCCAUCUAAAUGAUCAACAAAUAUUCAAAAUCUUGAAAACCCCACAAGGCAAAAAUCUUAUAAUAACCACAAAAAAUCAAAACUUUCAAAACCCCACAAGGCAAAAUCUUAUGAUAACCACAAAAAAUCAAAACUUUCAAAACCCCACAAGGCAAAAUCUUAUGAUAACCACAAAAAAUCAAAACUUUCAAAACCCCACAAGGCAAAAUCUUAUGAUAACCACAAAAAAUCAAAACUUUCAAAACCCCACAAGGCAAAAUCUUAUGAUAACCACAAAAAAUCAAAACUUUCAAAACCCCACAAGGCAAAAUCUUAUGAUAACCACAAAAAAUCAAAACUUUCAAAACCCCACAAGGCAAAAUCUUAUGAUAACCACAAAAAAUCAAAACUUUCAAAACCCCACAAGGCAAAAUGUUAUGAUAAGCAAAAAAUUAUCACUUUCACAGGAACAUUCAUAAUCCUAUGAGCACAAAAUGGUACCAAAAACCAGAGGAAAAAUUAGCCUAAACAACAGAAAACAAAACAACUUAAGAUUCUAAAGAGAGAGUUAAGUAAACAUCACCAGACUACCAAGACUUCAUUUUUCACUGCAUAAAGUUUCAAUCUUUGUAAAAAAAAAAGCAGCUAAAACUUCAAGAACAGCAAACAAGACUUGUUUUUUAUGCUUUGGGAGCAAUUUUGUGAGUGGGGCUGUUUGUUUUUUUGAGAAGUGAAAAUGAGAGAGAAUAGGAAAGUUUAUACAAGAAUUGAGCAGCUGGUUUUUUAAGCUGUGGGAGGAUUCUUGGUUUUGUGACUAUACAGAUAAAAACUGCCCAUGGUUUUUCACUUUUCAACAAAUUUG
rnacentral:lncRNA from 1 species